GUAGAUGAUGCCCUUGUGGCUGAAAAAGGGGAUCAUCAUGAGCUUCCUGGUGGACUUGCAUUGCUUGGCUUCCUUGGGCCUGGAGAGUCU